rnacentral:tRNA from 1 species
GCCUGGGUGGCUCAGUCAGUUGGGUGUCUGACUUCGGCUCAGGUCAUGAUCUUGAAGUCCGUGAGUUCAAGUCCCACGUCAGGCU